rnacentral:rRNA from 1 species
ACGGCUCAGUAACACGUGGAUAACCUACCCUUGGGACGGGCAUAAACCCGGGAAACUGGGUAUAGUUCCCGAUAGGUCUGGGAGGCUGGGAUGCAUUCAGACUGAAAGCUCCGGCACCCAAGGAUGGGUCUGCGGCCUAUCAGGUAGUAGUGGGUGUAACGUACCUACUAGCCUACUACGGGUACGGGUUGUGAGAGCAAGAGCCCGGAGAUGGAUUCUGAGACACGAAUCCAGGCCCUACGGGGUGCAGCAGGCGCGAAAACUUUACAAUGCGGGCAACCGCGAUAAGGGGACCUCGAGUGCCGACAUCAAAUGUCGGCUGUCGUGAUGCCUAAAAAGCAUUACAUAGCAAGGGCCGGGCAAGACCGGUGCCAGCCGCCGCGGUAACACCGGCGGCUCGAGUGGUGACCGCUAUUAUUGGGUUUAAAGGGUCUGUAGCCGGCCGGAUAAGUCUCUUGGGAAAUCUGGCCGCUCAACGGUCAGGCUUUCAGGGGAUACUGUCUGGCUCGAGGCCGGGAGAGGUGAGAGGUACUUCAGGGGUAGGGGUGAAAUCUUGUAAUCCUUGAAGGACCACCAGUGGCGAAGGCGUCUCACCAGAACGGACCUGACGGCAAGGGACGAAAGCUAGGGGCACGAACCGGAUUAGAUACCCGGGUAGUCCUAGCCGUAAACGAUACUCGCUAGGUGUCGGCCACGGUGCGACCGUGGUCGGUGCCGCAGGGAAACCGUGAAGCGAGCCACCUGGGAAGUACGGCCGCAAGGCUGAAACUUAAAGGAAUUGGCGGGGGAG